rnacentral:rRNA from 1 species
UACAGAGGUCUCAAGCGUUGUUCGGAUUCAUUGGGCGUAAAGGGUGCGUAGGCGGCGCGGUAAGUCGGGUGUGAAAUCUUGGAGCUUAACUCCGAAACUGCAUUCGAUACUGCCGUGCUUGAGGACUGGAGAGGAGACUGGAAUUUACGGUGUAGCGGUGAAAUGCGUAGAUAUCGUAAGGAACACCAGUGGCGAAGGCGGGUCUCUGGACAGUAACUGACGCUGAGGCACGAAAGUCAGGGGAGCAAACGGG